AGACCCGAAACCCGGUGAUCUAGCCAUGGGCAGGUUGAAGGUUGGGUAACACUAACUGGAGGACCGAACCGACUAAUGUUGAAAAAUUAGCGGAUGACCUGUGGCUGGGGGUGAAAGGCCAAUCAAACCGGGAGAUAGCUGGUUCUCCCCGAAAGCUAUUUAGGUAGCGCCUCGUGAAUUCAUCUCCGGGGGUAGAGCACUGUUUCGGCCAGGGGGCCAUCCCGGCUUACCAAUCCGAUGCAAACUGCGAAUACCGGAGAAUGUUAUCACGGGAGACACACGGCGGGUGCUAACGUCCGUCGUGAAGAGGGAAACAACCCAGACCGCCAGCUAAGGUCCCAAAGUCAUGGUUAAGUGGGAAACGAUGUGGGAAGGCCCAGACAGCCAGGAUGUUGGCUUAGAAGCAGCCAUCAUUUAAAGAAAGCGUAAUAGCUCACUGGUCGAGUCGGCCUGCGCGGAAGAUGUAACGGGGCUAAACCAUGCACCGAAGCUGCGGCAGCGAACGUAUCACCCAAGACAACUUUGCACAGUUGACGACUGACGGAGCGAAGCGACGUCAAAGCGUUUUACAACGUCGAGUUGGCUUAGGGAUACGUU
rnacentral:rRNA from 1 species